AGGAUCAACGCUGGCGGCGUGCCUAAUGCAUGCAAGUCGAACGGGGAUCACUUCGGUGGUCUUACGUGGCGGACGGGUGAGGAACACGUGGGCAACCUGCCCAACGGAGGGGGAUAACCGCUGGAAACAGUGGGUAAUACCGCAUACGCCGGGAUCACGAGUGGGUGAUGUCGGGAAAGCAGCAAUGCGCCGAUGGAGGGGCCUGCGUCCGAUUAGCUAGACGGUGGGUAACGGCCUACCGUGGCAGUGAUCGGUAGCUGGUUUGAGAGGAUGAUCAGCCACACGGGGACUGAGACACGGCCCCGACUCCGUACGGGAGGCAGCAGCAAGGAAUUUCCGCAAUGGGCGAAAGCCUGACGGAGCAACGCCGCGUGUGGAUGACGCGUUUUUCGGAGUAGUAAACCUACGUGUUCGUGGAGACGAAGCACGUGACGGUAACCCGACGGAGGAACGGCCCGGCUAACGUACGUGCCGAGCACGCCG
rnacentral:rRNA from 1 species